GAUGAACGCUAGCGGGAGGCCUAAUACAUGCAAGUCGAACGGUAACAGGUAGCAAUACGCUGACGAGUGGCGCACGGGUGCGUAACGCGUACACAAUCUGCCUUAUACUGGGGCAUAGCCUUUGGAAACGAAGAAUAAUUCCCCAUAACAUAUAGAAGAGGCAUCUCUUUUAUAUUAAAGCUCAGGCGGUAUAAGAUGAGUGUGCGUCCGAUUAGGUAGUUGGUGAGGUAACGGCUCACCAAGCCAACGAUCGGUAGCUGGUCUGAGAGGAUGAUCAGCCACACGGGCACUGAGACACGGGUCCGACUCCUACGGGAGGCAGCAGUAGGGAAUAUUGGACAAUGGGCGCAAGCCUGAUCCAGCCAUCCCGCGUGAAGGAUGAAGGUCCUCUGGAUUGUAAACUUCUUUUCUUCGGGAAUAAAAACUGGGGUUCUCCUCAGCUUGAAGGUACCGAAGGAAUAAGCACCGGCUAACUCCGUGCCAGCAGCCGCGGUAAAG
rnacentral:rRNA from 1 species